rnacentral:rRNA from 1 species
CUACGGGAGGCAGCAGUGGGGAAUUUUCCGCAAUGGGCGAAAGCCUGACGGAGCAAUACCGCGUGAGGGACGACGGCUUUUGGGUUGUAAACCUCUUUUCCCUGGGAAGAAGAUCUGACGNGUACCAGGGGAAUCAGCAUCGGCUAACUUCGUGCCAGCAGCCGCGGUAAUACGAGGGAUGCAAGCGUUAUCCGGAAUUAUUGGGCGUAAAGCGUCCGCAGGUGGCUCUGUAAGUCUGUCGUUAAAGAAUGGGGCUCAACCCCAUACAGGCGAUGGAAACUACAAGGCUAGAGUUUGGUAGGGGUCACGGGAAUUCUUAGUGUAGCGGUGAAAUGCGUAGAUAUUAAGAAGAACACCAGCGGCGAAAGCGCGUGACUGGGC